rnacentral:lncRNA from 1 species
CAAAGAUGGCUACUGAACCUCCUUCUAACCUGAACCCCAGGUCCUCCAGUACUGAUGUCGCCUGGCUAAUGACCUAUAUGGACAUGUACAGAUACCACUCACCACGCUGCUAUGUUACAGUGCAGGUGAAAGAUGGCUUCUGAACCUCCUUCUAACCUGACCCCCCAGGUCCUCCUGUACUGAGGUCGCCUGGCUAAUGACCUAUAUGGACAUGUACAGAUACCAUUCACCACGCUGCUAUGUUACAGUGCAGGUCAGCAUGCAGCGGAGGGAGACUAAAGGUCAAAGGGGACAUAAAGGUUGACAAACAAAAUGACCCAACUAACAUCUGUGUGCAUAUUGUCACAAAACUUAGUGAGUCUCAAUCCUGACAAGAAUGCAACUGAAAACUGCCAACAUAUCUGGAGAAGGGAAAUUUUAUUAACUAAUUCAGCAAAUGUAUUCAACCUUAGACUGAGCCAUCACUUCUGUCAGCUUUUCUCAAUGUAAAACUGUUGGUCCUCAUCGAGGCUUCAUAAGCAAGGGGUUCAUAGUUAGCCUUUCUCUCCGAUGAAAGCAGUGACGAUAUUGGAACUGGAUACUUCGAAACUUGUCCUGAAAACC